AUGGGAGUGAUGAUGAGAAGUCAGCCCCUGGCGGCCAGCCGGGAGAGCGCUCCUGACCUGAGGAGCCGGUGCAGAGUUCAAGCUGUGGAGGCGCUUGGCAAGUCCCAGAGAGCGGAAGUCAAGGAGAGGAGCCUGGAGAGAAGCAGGAAGGCCGCUGAAGAGCUGGCUGUGCCCCCGGAUGCACAGUCUCGGAAAGACCCCUGCCCACGUCCUGGGAGCCUCCAAAAGCACAUCUGGGUGGUGCGUGCUGCAUGAGCGCAGUGGGUGCACAUCAGUCGCCCCACGUGGCCAGGAGGCACAGCAGACCCAGAGCACAUGGACCGAGGAACAGAAAGCCGCCCGCCAACGGCCAGACAGCUAGAGGAAACGCAGUGCAGAUGUUUUGCUCAUGCUCUCAAAAGACCAGAAGAUUGGUCUCCCUUUGGUGUGCUCAAGACAGGCACUAUGUUCCAGAAAGAAGUUAUUUAUCAUCUUAAACUUAGACUCCAGGCCCCGUUCCACUUGACCUCGUUGUAAGAUCAAGGGCUGUGUAAGCUGAAGAUGAAGAGAAAAAGUUAAAAUUUUACAUAACCUCCUGCUCAUUCUGCCUCUGUAACUCAGCUUGCCCCUUGCAAAGUCUAGAUCACGUAGGUCACAUAGUCUUAGAAAGUGGGGACUUGGAAUACUAGGAACUGGAGUUUAUCUCACUCACCCUUGUCCUGCUCUUUGCAAUUGCCCAGCCCCUGCAAUCCUGCUUAAUCAUGCCUGUCCGUGUAAAGGUCAGGCAACCCCCUCCCCAUCGUGACUGCUGUUCCCGCAUGUGCGAAACCCCUUAGUUUAAACCAGCCUGUUAGCAGCUAGUGUUGCCCACUACAGUCUGUCUAUAAAAACUCUGUAACCCCUUUGUUCCGGGCUUAGAGCUUGGAGUGUUAACUCCUCUGGGCUGGCUGGUGUAAUAAACCUGAGUUUUCCAACUCUCCAAGUGUGGUGCUUCGUUUCUCGAGUACUGGUUUCUGUGACAAAGAGAGAGACAUAUUGAUGAGAAUCUGAUCCUAACAUCUGAGCAGAGCCACGCGAGUUGGGAACCAGGUCAGUUCGACAGACAUUCACUGAAUGUCUAUGAGCACAUGCUGAGUCAGAUCUGCACAGAAUCAGAUAAGACCAGGGCCCUGCCCGAAGGGACUUCACCUCCAGGAGAUGGGCACAUAAUCUUGAGAUUGGUGCUGACAGAGACCCAUGCCCACGUGUCAGGGGAGGAAUCCAGGUGUUUAAGGAAGGCUUCCUGGAGAGUGUCAUGCCUGAGUACAUACCUGAAAGAUGAGUGCGACCUGGCCUGAUGGUGAUGAAUGAGGGAAGCAUUCCAGGAAGAGGCAGGAUUGUAAAUAAAGCGAUGAACAUGAGAACUGCAGGCAGCCUGCAGGAGCACAGCGCCUGAGGCGGAGAAAUACUGGCCUGGAAAGGUACAGACAGGUCAGAGCAGAAGGAGGCAAGGCCACAUUUGAAUUUAGAGUUCUGUGGAGACUGGACUGCAGCAGGUAUUAAUAGUUUCAGCAGAG
rnacentral:lncRNA from 1 species